GUGGAGGCCAUCCAAGUAGC
rnacentral:miRNA from 1 species